rnacentral:rRNA from 1 species
GAGACCUGUGUCUACAAUUGCCAGCGAACGAUAUUCGUGAUCGGGCACAUUGUAGAGACUGCGAUGGAAACAUCGAGGAAGGUGCAGGCAACGGUAGGUCUGUAUGCCCCGAAUCCUCUGGGCUACACGCGCGCAACAAUGGUAUGGACAAUGGGAUGCAACUCCGUAAGGAGAAGCUAAACCUCUAAACCAUAUCCCAGUCCAAAUUGUGGGUUGUAACUCACCCACAUGACGUUGGAAUCCCUAGUAACCAGACAUUAGCAUUGUCCGGUGAAUAU